rnacentral:rRNA from 1 species
GACGAACCGUGCGAACGUUGUUCGGAAUCACUGGGCUUAAAGCGCGCGUAGGCGGGCGCUAAGUGUCUCGUGAAAUCCCACGGCUCAACCGUGGAACGGCUGGGCAUACUGGACGCCUUGAGGCACGCAGGGGCGAGCGGAACAAGUGGUGGAGCGGUGAAAUGCGUAGAUAUCGGGAGGAACACCAGUGGCGAAGGGCAGCUCUCUGGGACGGUACUGACGCUGAGACGCGAAAGCGUGGGGAGCGAACAGG